GUUACCAUUCUGCAUUCUGCAUUCUUAUCUGAUCUCCUUCAGAGGGCAUUAGCCCUGGAAGGCGCCUUAGAGAUCGGCUAAGCCAAUCUUCUCAGUUUACAGCUAAGGUGGUGCUGGGCAGGGCACUGAAGCUGGGAGACCCGGUAGCUGCCCUCAAGAAGCUUCCCGAGAAGGAUGAUGAGCAUGCAAACAGGCCAUCACAGAAAAUGAGUGCUCUGUGGGAGGAAAAGAUGAAGGGCCAGGAGAACCUGUGGAGAAACUGUGAAGGCUUCCCCAAGAGGUGCUACUGGGGCUAACUUCGGGACGAGGGGUUCCUCCGGCAGGUGAUUACAGGUGGCCCAAUGAUCUUCACACUUGGUGGACACUCCAUCCACAUGCCUCUUCCCCAGACUGCCCUGUCCUAUGCUCUGUAUUCUAAUCUUUCUCCCCAGAGUUUCCUGAUCAGCCUGGUCAAUGCCUGGCCCUCCACUCAUGAGUCUAUGUGGACUCACAAGGUGGCUGGCCAGGCGCCCUGCCAGGGUAUGGCUACAGCACAACUGUACUGGGUGGAGCUUGCGCCCCUACACGGACCCAUCCGGAAACCCAGCUCAGGCUCUUAACUCAUUCGUCGCCAUUUCUGUGGGAUCCCCCAUACAGCCAGAGAUGUGAACUAAAGACAGGACACUGGUGCAAUGGAGGUGACAGUGCUGUAGCGCAUCAGCGUGAUGUUCUGUGGGAUGUCUGGACAGCCUAGAUCUCCUCACGACGUCCUGACAGAGGGUGGAGAGUGAACAUGGUCCUGGGCAAAGCUCUAUGUGAAUCUUGUUGUUGUCCAUCCCAUGGAAAUGCAAACUGUUUCUGCCCCUCUUUUCUGAUUAGAAUAGAAAAGAAUGCAUUUCCCAGAUCAUUGGCCACAUAUUAUGUCCCUGCGGCCUUAUUAUGCCGCUCUAUCAAAGAUACCACAUCAGGGGCGCCUGGGUGGCUCAGUCGUUAAGCAAUCUGCCUUCAGCUCAGGUCAUGAUCCUGGGGU